rnacentral:tRNA from 1 species
CCUUCGAUAGCUCAGUUGGUAGAGCGGAGGACUGUAGCGCUUAGCCACGGGCAUCCUUAGGUCGCUGGUUCGACUCCGGCUCGAAGGA